UGAGCAGUGAGAAACGAUUGUUGAUGAUGUAGAGUUUUGUAACGGUGGACCCCACAGUCUAUGACAGAAACAAGUAGGACAGAAAAUUCCAUCUUCAUCACUAACAAAAGAAAAAGAGAGAUUUGCAUUUUAAGGAGCAGUACAUAUUGGCAGCCAUGUAGCUUUGUAGUUGCUUCGAAGAGUAUUUUUUUCCUUGUCUGGUGAUUGGUUGCACUUUGAAUACCUCCUAUCCUUAUAGCCAUGGAACACUUGACAUUGACUCCAUUUACACUUGCAGAAACAAAAACGAACAUAUUUGCAACAAGUAUUUUUUUGUGACUAUGAAACCAAAAAUUGUGAAUUUUUUUAAGUACCUAUAUUUAGAAGACAUCUAGCGGAGGAAUUGCUUGUUACUGAGUACUCUACUGAACUGUCAAUUUAUUCGUUGUCAGGGGGCUAUAUCGAGUUUGGUUGCCAUAAUAAUGGUUGCCUCGCGAAUUGGAAAUGCUUUGCUGAAUCCCAGGAUAUCGCCAAGUGUGCUAUAUUGUCGUAAUCUUUUUUCUCCUUAGGAUGGUUACCAAUGUGCAGUUGAAUUCUAAAAGAUUUUGUUUGAUAUGCUGUAUUUAAAGAACUGAUGUUGGCACCAGCUUGAUGGGAAAAAGUCAUUUCCAAUGUGGGCACAGGGAAACUUGGAUUUAUUUGGUAAUAGAGUCGGAUGGUUUUCCUGAAGUUGCAGUUUGAAAUAACCUUUCAAAGCCUGAAUUCAUCUUCGUAGAAAGGGACUUGUGAGAAGUAACGCUGGCUCUGUAAAUGUUCUUGGUUUGGGACAAGACGUUGAAUAAAUUGUGAUGAUUGGAUGGACAACACGGAAUUCCUACACUUUAUUCAUAUUCCCCAAACGGUAUUUAAAAUUCAAAAAUUGAAGUGCAUAUCUGGGCUCCCUUCCUUUCCGUAGCCCCGUUUCCCCUUGACUCGUAAUAAGCCCGUAGGGGGUCAUGCCCCUACUGUACGGUAUAUUUAAAAAUAACAUAUACCGAGGUUUGGAGGGCUCUGGCCGGAAAGGGGACGUGGGCUGGCCGCUUAGUCCGAUGAUGUGUUCACGGAGGGCGACGUGGCUACCCACAAAUCCGAACUAAAGGUUAAUCGCUCCAGUAAAAAUGUUCCAUAUCUUCGGCUCUUCUUCCGGCUUCUCUUAGCCAAUCACCGGGUAAUCUCCCCGGUGGGUCAACAAGGCAGUGUCUCCCCCUGCCUGGGUUGACGGCAACUUUUGAAAGGGCUAUU